rnacentral:lncRNA from 1 species
GAGUUGGGUAUAUAGUUAUUUACCAGCGCUUGAAUCAUAUGCACAAACCCAUGGGUAUGAUUCUCAGCACUAAGGAACUCACUAACUCACCAACAGAGGGAGGCACGAGGCUUCGGUUUUGUACCUUUGAGGAUCACUUGCCAGCUUGUAGUCCAGGCUUCUCCACCACUGUGGAGGGAAGUGCUGUAACUCACUGGGCAGGGAACUUCUCCUUUUUCUGUGCAACAUGAAAAAAAAGCUAAGUGAGGCUGGUUUAUGAGUAUGGGUUGUACACCUCUAACUCAAAAAUCUGAAAUCUGAAAUGCCCCACUAAAUAUGAAGUUUUUCACUGGCCGAGAUGGUGCAAUAAUCAGAAAAUUCCACCCGUGACCUGUUUGUAAAGUCAAAUGUUGGAGACUAUUUGUGUACUGUGUGUAUGAGACAUACAUGGAGUUUGUAUUCAAACUUGGACCUUAUCUCCAAGAUGUGUCAUUAAAUAUAUUCAAAUAUUCUAAACCUGGAAAA